ACCAAAGAACUAUGACUUUAUAAGGUAUAUAAUUCAACUUCUUCUUUGACUUAAUCUCCGAAUUUGAUUAUCUGUUCAGUUAAUUUUUUUCAAUCAUCAGUAUUGUUUAUUAUUGAAUUGAAGUUGAAUUUGAUCAGAUUUCUUUGAGUUAAAUUUGAUCGAUUUAAGUGAUUGAGAAGCUUGGAUUGUGUUCGUUAAAGUCACUGAGAUCACAAGAAGAAAUUCAAGUUGUUGGUGUUAGAAAUGAAGCAGAUCGAUAAGAAGAAGGUGCUCUGAAGUUGAUUUAGGUUUUCUGCUAAAAUCUGGUGAUGGGUUUACUAUUGGUUGCUAGUAUUGAAGAAUAGAAGGUCAGGUUGAGGUUAGAUUCAAGUUUGCAUAUGUGCUCGAAGGGUCCUGAUGGAAUUCAGGUAAAGAAGAAGGAAUAUAUUGAUAGUGGUACAGCUGAAAUGAAGAUUUGUUCGAAUCUGUGAUGAAAUUGAGUAAUUUCUGUUGUGAUUUCUUGGGUGUUUAGGAAGAAUUUAUGUUACUGUUGUCCUACAAAUGGAUGAACAAAGAAUGAGUUGGUUCGAUUUAAGGUUCUCUAUUGAUUUAAAAUUGAAAAUGGUAGGACACGGGUCGUGGUUGUGAUUGUCUCUGUGUAGGAAGAUGAGAAGAAUCUGAUGCUUGUACAAGGAUUGCAGAAGGAGUAUGGAGUUACAGAGUGGUUGAAUUAUUGAUGGUAUUGGUGGAUGAAAUGGGUUUAUAUGAGUUGUUUUACAGGGAUGUUGGAGGUACUGUUGGUGAUUGAAGAAGCAUGAUAGGUUUUGAUGUUCACAAUAUUGAUUGCAGGUGGAACUGGAUGGUUGUUGGCUGGGAUUUGAGCUGACAUUGCAGAUUGUAGGUCUGUUCAAGCUGAUAAAGAAGUGUUGGUGCUGUUGUUGCUUCAGGUGUUAAAUGGUUUGAUGCUUGUCUGUGUCACUGGUAGAUUUAAACUUGCUACAAUGGAAUCAAGCUGAGAAGACAUGACAGUGUGGGUGUUUGGCAGUGUUGUUGUGAGCUGGGUUCUGCGGAGGAAGUUGAUUGCAGUUGAGUUGAAGUCAUGUAACAGACGUAGGAGCUGGAUAAAAUGGAAUGGUGGUGUAUGGCUCAGAUGGAGAUGAUAUGCUUGUUGUGGCAUAUUAGCAUUACUGAGAAGAAUUUGCAUGGAAUGCAGAAUGGAUGUUGCAGCUGGUGGUUCUAAUUGGCAGAAUAUAUUCGAUAAUACUUAUACUUUUGGGUGGAUAAAUUCUAUAUGAAAUAUGUUCAUGAGCUUAUUUGCCAACAUGGGUACCUAUCAGAAUUGUUGUUGGAAGGAUCUAUUGUGUUUGUGCUGGCGAAAGAGAUUGUGAAUGGUGAUGGUUGCAAGUUGUUGACUCAAUGGCUACAACAAGGUAAGGCUCUCUGUACUGUUUGGCUACUCCUAAUGCUAAAUGAAAAUGUUUAUGGAGAAGUUCGGGAACUAUUUUAUGAACUGCAUUACAGUGGAAUUGAAGAGGUUUAAGUGUGUUUAUAGGUUCGUUGAUUUGCAACAGUGAGUUUUCUUCUAUUACGCAUUUUUAUUUUUUGUUUUUAUGAUAAUGGGUUAGAUCGGUCGAGUAAGGGUCUGGAGUACAAGUGAUGGGGGCCAGUCCGGAAUGACAUGUGUCAAACAGAUGGUGAUGUACAGGUGGUGACGUGUACACCGAGUUAAGAAGAAAAUCAACGAGCUGAAUAAGUAUCAAGGAGUUGAAGGAUUUAAAGGUCUUUUUAUCCCACACUAACGGCAUCAAAAAGGUACGGUCGAUCACGCGCCUAUUGUAGUUGUAGUAACCGGGCAUAAUCAAUCAAUACGAAGAUUUGUAGUCCACAAUUUUUUUUCUGGAUAUUAAGUGGAAAAGGAUCUGGAAGUGUUUCUUAACCGUUUACAAGUUCUUAGUCCAGCAUAUCAAGACUCAACGUCCAGAUUUGAAGGAACGCAUAAGUGCUUCACUGGUAAAGGAGACAAAUUAAAAUACAUUCCAGAUAUUGGG